rnacentral:rRNA from 1 species
AUACGGAGGAUCCGAGCGUUAUCCGGAUUUAUUGGGUUUAAAGGGAGCGUAGGUGGAUUGUUAAGUCAGUUGUGAAAGUUUGCGGCUCAACCGUAAAAUUGCAGUUGAAACUGGCAGUCUUGAGUACAGUAGAGGUGGGCGGAAUUCGUGGUGUAGCGGUGAAAUGCUUAGAUAUCACGAAGAACUCCGAUUGCGAAGGCAGCUCACUAGACUGUUACUGACACUGAUGCUCGAAAGUGUGGGUAUCAAACAGGAUUAGAUACCCUGGUAGUCCACACAGUAAACGAUGAAUACUCGCUGUGUGCGAUAUACAGUAAGCGGCCAAGCGAAAGCAUUAAGUAUUCCACCUGGGGAGUACGCCGGCAACGGUGAAACUCAAAGGAAUUGACGGGG